UGAAUACGAGACGCUAAGGCGUCGAAGUAGUGUAUGUCAUACUUCCAAGAAAAGCUUGCACUGUCAUAGAUAAAAAACGCCUGUACCAUAACCGACACAGGUGGGUAGGUAGAGUAUACUAAGGGGCGCGAGAUAACUCUCUCUAAGGAACUCGGCAAAAUGACUCCGUAACUUCGGGAGAAGGAGUGCCUUAUUCUUAAGGUUGCAAUAACAAGAUCCAAGCAACUGUUUAUCAAAAACACAGGUCUCCGCUAAGUCGUAAGACGAUGUAUGGGGGCUGACGCCUGCCCAGUGCCAGAAGGUUAAAGAAGUUGGUUAGCAUUUGCGAAGCUGAUAACUGAAGCCCUGGUGAACGGCGGCCGUAACAAUAACGGUCCUAAGGUAGCGAAAUUCCUUGUCGGGUAAGUUCCGACCCGCACGAAAGGCGUAAUGAUUUGGAUACUGUCUCGGAGAGGGGCUCGGUGAAAUAGACUUGUCUGUGAAGAUGCGGACUACCUGCACCAGGACAGAAAGACCCUAUGAAGCUUUACUGUAACUUGAAAUUGAAAUUGGACUUUAUUCGCGCAGUAUAGGUGGGAGGCGUUGAUUAUAAUCUUGCGGGAUUAUUGGAGCCAUCAGUGAGAUACCACCCUUGUAAUGUUAGAUUUCUAACUUUGAAUCAUUAUCUGGUCAAAGAACAGUUUCAGGCGGGCAGUUUGACUGGGGCGGUCGCCUCCUAAACGGUAACGGAGGCGUACAAAGGUUUCCUCUGAACGGUUAGAAAUCGUAUCUAGAGUGUAAAGGCAUAAGGAAGCUUGACUGUGAGACCUACAAGUCGAGCAGGGACGAAAGUCGGUCUUAGUGAUCUGACGGUACUGAGUGGAAAGGCCGUCACUCAACGGAUAAAAGUUACUCUAGGAUAACAGGCUGAUCUCCCCCAAGAGUUCACAUCGACGGGGAGGUUUGGCACCUCGAUGUCGGCUCAUCGCAUCCUGGGGCGGUAGUACGUCCCAAGGGUUGGGCUGUUCGCCCAUGAAAGCGGUACGCGAGCUGGGUUCAGAACGUCGUGAGACAGUUCGGUCCAUAUCCGGUGUAGGCGUUAGAAUAUUGAGAGGAGCCUUCUUUAGUACGAGAGGACCGAGAAGGACAUACCUCUGGUGUACCAGUUAUCGUGCCAACGGUAAACGCUGGGUAGCUAUGUAUGGAGUGGAUAACCGCUGAAAGCAUCUAAGUGGGAAGCCCACCUCAAGAUAAGUAUUCUC
rnacentral:rRNA from 1 species